AGAGUUUGAUCCUGGCUCAGGAUGAACGCUGGCGGCGUGCCUAACACAUGCAAGUCGAACGAACCUUGGGGAACAGAUUACUUCGGUAUGAAGUUCCCCGCUGGUUAGUGGCGGACGGGUGAGUAACGCGUGGGUAACCUGCCGUAUGCAGGGGGAUAACAGUUAGAAAUGACUGCUAAUACCGCAUAAGCGCACAGUAUCGCAUGAUACAGUGUGAAAAACGAUAGUGGCAUACGAUGGACCCGCGUCUGAUUAGCUAGUUGGCGGGGUAACGGCCCACCAAGGCGACGAUCAGUAGCCGGCCUGAGAGGAAGGUCCCCCACAUUGGAACUGAGACACGGUCCAAACUCCUACGGGAGGCAGCAGUGAGGAAUAUUGGUCAAUGGACGAGAGUCUGAACCAGCCAAGUAGCGUGCAGGAAGACGGCCCUAUGGGUUGUAAACUGCUUUUAUGCGGAGAUAAAGUGUGGGAUGCGUCCCAUAUUGCAGGUACCGCAAGAAAAAGGACCGGCUAAUUCCGUGCCAGCAGCCGCGGUAAUACGGAAGGUCCGGGCGUUAUCCGGAUUUAUUGGGUUUAAAGGGAGCGUAGGCCGGAAGAUAAGCGUGUUGUGAAAAGUCGUGGCUCAACCUCGGCCUUGCAGCGCGAACUAUUUUUCUUGAGUACGCAGUAGGUAGGCGGAAUUCGUUGUGUAGCGGUGAAAUGCUUAGAUAUGACGAAGAACUCCGAUUGCGAAGGCAGCCUGCCGUAGCGCGACUGACGCUGAUGCUCGAAAGCGUGGGUAUCGAACAGGAUUAGAUACCCUGGUAGUCCACACUGUAAACGAUGAUUACUAGGUGUGGGGGGACUGACCCCUUCCGUGCCGGAGUAAACACAAUAAGUAAUCCACCUGGGGAGUACGGCCGCAAGGUUGAAACUCAAAGGAAUUGACGGGGGCCCGCACAAGCAGUGGAGUAUGUGGUUUAAUUCGAAGCAACGCAAAGAACCUUACCAGGUCUUGGCAUCGUGCGCAUAGUAUAGAGAUAUAUGAAGUCCUUCGGGACGCAUAGACAGGUGGUGCAUGGUUGUCGUCAGCUCGUGUCGUGAGAUGUCGGGUUAAGUCCCUCAACGAGCGCAACCCUUACGAUUAGUUGCUACGCAAGAGCACUCUAAUAGGACUGCCGUUGACAAAACGGAGGAAGGUGGGGAUGACGUCAAAUCAUCAUGCCCCUUAUGACCUGGGCUACACACGUACUACAAUGGUGAUCAACAGAGGGAAGCAAAGCGGCGACGCGGAGCAAAUCCCUAAAAGUCAUCUCAGUUCGGAUCGCAGGCUGCAACCCGCCUGCGUGAAGUUGGAAUUGCUAGUAAUCGCAGAUCAGAAUGCUGCGGUGAAUACGUUCCCGGGCCUUGCACUCACCGCCCGUCAAG
rnacentral:rRNA from 1 species